rnacentral:rRNA from 1 species
GAACGCUAGCUACAGGCUUAACACAUGCAAGUCGAGGGGCAGCAUGGUCUUAGCUUGCUAAGGCCGAUGGCGACCGGCGCACGGGUGAGUAACACGUAUCCAACCUGCCGUCUACUCUUGGACAGCCUUCUGAAAGGAAGAUUAAUACAAGAUGGCAUCAUGAGUCCACAUGUUCACAUGAUUAAAGGUAUUCCGGUAGACGAUGGGGAUGCGCUCCAUUAGAUAGUAGGCGGGGUAACGGCCCACCUAGUCUUCGAUGGAUAGGGGUUCUGAGAGGAAGGUCCCCCACAUUGGAACUGAGACACGGUCCAAACUCCUACGGGAGGCAGCAGUGAGGAAUAUUGGUCAAUGGGCGAGAGCCUGAACCAGCCAAGUAGCGUGAAGGAUGACUGCCCUAUGGGUUGUAAACUUCUUUUAUAAAGGAAUAAAGUCGGGUAUGCAUACCCGUUUGCAUGUACUUUAUGAAUAAGGAUCGGCUAACUCCGUGCCAGCAGCCGCGGUAAUACGGAGGAUCCGAGCGUUAUCCGGAUUUAUUGGGUUUAAAGGGAGCGUAGAUGGAUGUUUAAGUCAGUUGUGAAAGUUUGCGGCUCAACCGUAAAAUUGCAGUUGAUACUGGAUAUCUUGAGUGCAGUUGAGGCAGGCGGAAUUCGUGGUGUAGCGGUGAAAUGCUUAGAUAUCACGAAGAACUCCGAUUGCGAAGGCAGCCUGCUAAGCUGCAACUGACAUUGAGGCUCGAAAGUGUGGGUAUCAAACAGGAUUAGAUACCCUGGUAGUCCGCACGGUAAACGAUGAAUACUCGCUGUUUGCGAUAUACGGCAAGCGGCCAAGCGAAAGCGUUAAGUAUUCCACCUGGGGAGUACGCCGGCAACGGUGAAACUCAAAGGAAUUGACGGGGGCCCGCACAAGCGGAGGAACAUGUGGUUUAAUUCGAUGAUACGCGAGGAACCUUACCCGGGCUUAAAUUGCAGAUGAAUUACGGUGAAAGCCGUAAGCCGCAAGGCAUCUGUGAAGGUGCUGCAUGGUUGUCGUCAGCUCGUGCCGUGAGGUGUCGGCUUAAGUGCCAUAACGAGCGCAACCCUUGUUGUCAGUUACUAACAGGUUCCGCUGAGGACUCUGACAAGACUGCCAUCGUAAGAUGUGAGGAAGGUGGGGAUGACGUCAAAUCAGCACGGCCCUUACGUCCGGGGCUACACACGUGUUACAAUGGGGGGUACAGAGGGCCGCUACCACGCGAGUGGAUGCCAAUCCCCAAAACCUCUCUCAGUUCGGACUGGAGUCUGCAACCCGACUCCACGAAGCUGGAUUCGCUAGUAAUCGCGCAUCAGCCACGGCGCGGUGAAUACGUUCCCGGGCCUUGUACACACCGCCCGUCAAGCCAUGGGAGCCGGGGGUACCUGAAGUGCGUAACCGCGAGGAGCGCCCUAGGGUAAAACUGGUGACUGGGGCUA